AACGAACGCUGGCGGCAGGCUUAACACAUGCAAGUCGAGCGCCCCGCAAGGGGAGCGGCAGGCGGGUGAGUAACGCGUGGGAACGUACCUUUUGGUUCGGAACAACUCCGGGAAACUGGAGCUAAUACCGGAUAAGCCCUAACGGGGAAAGAUUUAUCGCCGAAAGAUCGGCCCGCGUCUGAUUAGCUAGUUGGCGAGGUAACGGCUCACCAAGGCGACGAUCAGUAGCUGGUCUGAGAGGAUGAUCAGCCACACUGGGACUGAGACACGGCCCAGACUCCUCCGGGAGGCAGCAGUGGGGAAUAUUGGACAAUGGGCGCAAGCCUGAUCCAGCCAUGCCGGGUGAGUGAUGAAGGCCUUAGGGUUGUAAAGCUCUUUUGUCCGGGAAGAUAAUGACUGUACCGGAAGAAUAAGCCCCGGCUAACUUCGUG
rnacentral:rRNA from 1 species